rnacentral:tRNA from 1 species
GCAUUUGUGGUGUAAACGGAAGCACGUGGGUCUUCUAAACCGAAAGUCUGAGUUCGAGUCUCGGCAAAUGCU